rnacentral:snRNA from 1 species
UCACUUUAGCAGUGCAUAUACUAAGAUUGGAAUGAUACAGAGAAUAUUAGCAUGGACCCUGAUCAAGGAUGGCACACAAAUUUGUGAAGCUUCCUGACAAUAC